AGCCCAGGCCGCCGGGGCCUCGCGCCUCACAAACUCCUCACAAACUCCUCCCUGUAUGGUUGCCCUGGAUUGGCGUGACCAGUGCCGCCCACACCGCGUGUCCUCAUCACGGCCACCCCGCUGACCUGCCCCACCUACAGCGCAGCACACCGCAACCUGGCAACCGCCUCCGCCCGCAAGGGCCGUCGAGUAAUGGCGCCUCCUCGCCUCCCGGGCGCCAACGGAUGCAAGUGACAUCGAAGCGGCCGUAUCACCGGAUAACCUAAGCCCAGCAUGGAUGAUUAAUGAUGGCUUCCCCAUAGUUGUACCAGCAGAGAUGCUACACUCCCUGAGGCACCCUUCCACCCCUUAUAUACCCUAGCAGCACCCAAGCCGACGAGCCAAGUGCAAUUACCGCAGAAUUACAUCUAGCUGGAGAGGGAGAGAAUCAGCUGACAGCCCAGUGACCACUGCACCCAAUUCUUUGAAGGAAUGUCAAUAGUCAACAGGUCAAUGUUUCUCAAGUCAUAACAAUAGUAACAGCUGCUCUCAUGAAGAUGACAGCUGUGAUGCUCAGUGGCCAGCACCCCUUUCUGAUUUAAUUAUGCUUUGGAAUGUGCUUGAAAAAAGUGUGUGUGUAUGUUUGUGUGUGUGUGUUCAAAUCACAGAAUAAAACCUACAGCGUUUCU
rnacentral:lncRNA from 1 species